UUUCCCAAUUGACUACCACAUUUCCUUCUACUUGUUGAUUUUAGUGGUUAUGCUUAUGAGAUCUAGUAAAAUUGCCAUGAUCUGAAGAGGGAGAAUUUCUUUGUGUCCUCCUCCUCUAUGAAAUGACUCAACAGAAAAAU
rnacentral:snoRNA from 1 species